GCGUGCCUAACACAUGCAAGUCGAACGGAAGUUAGAGCUUCGGUUUUAACUUUAGUGGCGAACGGGUGAGUAACGCGUGAGGAACCUGCCUUUCAGUGGGGGACAACAGUUGGAAACGACUGCUAAUACCGCAUGAUGCUUUUGGGAGACAUCUCCUGGAAGCCAAAGCUUUAUGUGCUGAAAGAUGGCCUCGCGUCUGAUUAGCUAGUUGGUGAGGUAACGGCUCACCAAGGCGACGAUCAGUAGCCGGUCUGAGAGGAUGAACGGCCACAUUGGGACUGAGAUACGGCCCAGACUCCUACGGGAGGCAGCAGUGGGGAAUAUUGGGCAAUGGGGGAAACCCUGACCCAGCAACGCCGCGUGAAGGAAGAAGGCCUUCGGGUUGUAAACUUCUUUUACCAGGGACGAAGGACGUGACGGUACCUGGAGAAAAAGCAACGGCUAACUACGUGCCAGCAGCCGCGGUAAUACGUAGGUUGCAAGCGUUGUCCGGAUUUACUGGGUGUAAAGGGCGUGUAGGCGGAGAUGCAAGUUGGGAGUGAAAUCCAUGGGCUCAACCCAUGAACUGCUCUCAAAACUGUAUCCCUUGAGUAUCGGAGAGGCAAGCGGAAUUCCUAGUGUAGCGGUGAAAUGCGUAGAUAUUAGGAGGAACACCAGUGGCGAAGGCGGCUUGCUGGACGACAACUGACGCUGAGGCGCGAAAGCGUGGGGAGCAAACAGGAUUAGAUACCCUGGUAGUCCACGCUGUAAACGAUGAAUACUAGGUGUGGGAGGACUGACCCCUUCCGUGCCGCAGUUAACACAAUAAGUAUUCCACCUGGGGAGUACGACCGCAAGGUUGAACUCAAAGGAAUUGACGG
rnacentral:rRNA from 1 species